UUGAAGUUUGCGCGUGGAGCCGUAGACCCCUGUGUAUUGCUAUCGUGCGGUCGUUACUAAGGUUGAUAUAACUAGAGAAGCAAGCGGUCAGCAACAUUCAUCUCUCAAGGGGGUGUCGAACUCGGUGUUGUGGUGUGCUUGACUCUAACUUAAUUUUACGCCGGAAUAUCCCUUUAACAUUGUCAGCUACCAGCAGGUGUACUCUCACCAGUCCCUUACAGGAGUGAUGAGCAAACAAACAUGACAGGGAGAAAAACAGAAACUGGAAAGACUAAAAAAAGGAAAGAAAACAAAGCAUCAGCAAUAGGUCGUCUAUAAUCUAUCAACUUUAUGACCCCAAGGGCUUUAAACUGCAUUUUUUCCCUCAGCAAACUACAUGAAAGAUGCUUAGAAAUUACAUUUAGAAAUUACAUUUUGGAUCGGAUAAUUAUCUACAAAACAACAAAGUUUGCAGAGAGAUGAAGUCUGGAGGGAUGGAUGAAUGAAAAAAUAUCAGCUGGUUUUAGUUUCUUUAAUAAUUUAUCCUAGUUGGUUAUUAUUGUUUAACUAACAGUAGAGCUAAUUGUUUAGUUAAUUGAACCCAUGUCAUGAGCUGUACCUAACUUAAACCAAAGUUUGACCAAACCUUUACUAUCACAGAAAUUUGGUAAGGCAGCGAUAAGUAACUUUAGUCCACAGAUAGAGCUUCUUGACAUCAAUGCCUCUCUAUCAAUACAUUUGUCAUCUGUACUGUAGUUCUGCUUACUGUACAGUGUUUAUUUCAAUAUUCUAAAUCAAAGGAGAGAGUGAAGCCUUUCCAGAGAUUGAUACGUUAUUCAACAGUCAGAGUUAAUGCAGUUGAGGACGGACAUCUCAAGUUUUACUUUCCUAGUUUUCUGAAACACAAAAACCUGGUCUUGCCCUAUUUGUGUGUUUACUGAUAUUAUUUGUGACAAAUUUUCUUGAAAUACUUCUCUCUCCCCAUACGACUACAGCCUUAAUGGCAGGAUUUUGUAAAAAAAUAUAAACUGUCAAGUUAAAGAUGACCCUGAUGACACACUAGAGCUGUUUCCUUUCAGGCUCACAGAAACCACAAAGUUGUUAAAGACUUUUGUUGUUAGCAUACUAGUCUUAACAAUGGGUCAAAUUAUCCUCACAAUAAGAGUUUAAACCAACCGGAAGAAACUUUCAGAUCUUUAUCUGCUCAUUGAAUGAUCGCUACCAACUCUUUUCUGAACCUGGUUAAAUAAAACACAGAAAGACUCAGACCAAAAGAGAACGAGUACAAGGCAGACAGAGACGCUGAAGUGUGUCUGCUGAGUGUGAAUAACAGCGAACGAGGAAAGCAGUUAACUUUCUUUUAUCCGAUCAUCCUCACAGCCACUCAUGUCUUCAUUUCAAAGAGCGCCAUAAUUACAGCUUUGAGUAUUUAGCCUCAUAAUUUACUCAUUCUGUCACAUUAUUUACGACUCUCUCUCUCCCUCUCAGCGGGGGUUCACCCCUAUAAUCUACUCUGUUAGGUCCAAUCCAUAUUCCAAGUUAUUAUCACUCUCAUUUGCUUAUUAAGUGCUCCCUUGUUUUCUUCAAAUAAAGUUAUAAUUAGAGAUUUAGUGUCGGCAGCUUGAAAUACUAUCUCCUCUUUAUGGAAUCUUGGGUGGGAUGAGAGGGAAUCGUGUUUUAUCAUACUCAAGGAGUUAAUGAGGAUGUGCACAGCUUGAUAUUGUGUUUGUAUGUGUGUGACAGUGUGUGCGUGUGUUUUCUAAUUAUGUCUCUGUGACAGCUUUCUGGCCUCCAAAAUACCCAUAUACUGCAAACCCUCUGUUGUUUUGUCUUCCCACUGAUUUAUGUUAAUGAAGUCAAUCACAGAAGAGGGACUGUAUGAGCUUGUUCUUCCUAUACUGCUCCAGACAAGAACAUUACAGACAUAUUGGCUCAAAGCUCUGCUUCUCAUAACACAUAUUUACCUACUAAAAUGGAGUAUUUUGCACUUCUUAAUACACUCCUUAGUAGCUUAUUUAGCCUAAAUUACAUUAACAGGAAAUGAGAAUCCUGUACUCGGCCUGUGUUUGCAGCUUUGAAUACCAAUCACCCAUGUUUCCCGAGGAUGAUCCUCUGAUCCGUUCUUACCUUCGCGUGACCCACCCUGUGGGCCCGGGCCUGUCUUUGAGAAACAGCAGAGUGGAGUACAUUAAGACACGCCCCAGCAACACACUGAUUACAUAUGCUAGCUACGGUAAUGAGCUGAGCUGGACAGUGGAAGACUGCUGCUGUUUAUGGCAACUCAUUAUCUGGCCCAUUGACCAGAACUGUUCUACACAUCAUAGAGCCCCGUGUCCUCUACAGCUACUCCACCAUCACUCUCUCUACUUGUCUGGAAGGGGUGUGUGUAAGUGUGUGCGUGUGUGUGAUAGGUAAGAUUGGGUUGUUAGAUGGAUGAAUAAAUGAAGGCAUGAGUGAAUGGAUUGAAGUUAAAGCCAGUGUGUGUGUGUGUGUGUGUGUGUGUGUAUGUGUGUGUGUGUGUGUGUGUGUUUGCCUGUCUACAUAAUGAAAAGUAAGAUGAUUCCCGAGCUAAUGAUCUCGCACCCUCACAUGCUGCAUUACAUGUUCAUUUGAGUCAGACUUUGUGCUGUUAGUUUCGUUUAAGUGUGUGUUUGUGCAUUUCUGUAUUCGAUUAUAAGCUGAAGUGUCUUACUCGGAAGCGUGUGUACGUAUGUGUCUGCGUGCGCACGCGCAUGCUACUAUGAUCGCCUGCCAAAGUAAAGUGUUUGCAGCCGAGAGAGACAGGGGCGCUAAGCUCAAGGGCACAUUUGUUUCAAGCUAAUGAUAGAAUGUAAAUGGAGCAAAUUUCCUCUGCAAGAACAGAAGCUCUCGCGCCCAAACACACAUACACACACACUUUCAUACUUCCACACACACACAUGCACACACACACACACACACAUCGCGGCAUCGUGUUGAUGGAGUGCAGAAUCUCAUUACACAUCUAAUAGAAUAAGUGUAGUGUGCGUAUGGGGAGAGGAGAGGAGCAGCCAACCUGAUUAGCCUUAUCACUUUAUUAUGCCGCUCUGCACGCAGCACACAGGACAAUUGCAUUAGAGAGGAGCAGAUGAGCUGAAGGCAAGGAGAACUCAGCAAACACACCCUUAAUUGAUUCCUCACCAAAUUAGCAGGGACAGGUGGGGGGGCUCACCGGCUGCGUGGCUCUGUGACUGACUGGAUGCUCGGUCGGCUGCUUCACCGAGUGGCUUACUUGUUGACUUGUACAGCCGUUGGGUGACUGAGUUACGGCGAGUGUUGGCAAGCUGCUCACAUUAGAGGCCUCGAGUUGAGUUAAGGGGGGGGGUUAGAGCUCGGAAAAUGUUCACGCUUUAAUCAGAUUUUUGCUAGGUUGUCAGGGACAGGUGAAGCGUCAACACUUUCUACCUUCACCUACGAUUUGGCUGUGUAGGUCAUUAACAUUGAAGCCAUCUUGUGACCCCGAUCGUAGAGCCCAAAUAAGAAGAAACUUCUCAAAAAGCGGCCCAGCGUCACAGCUUCCGGUCCUUUUUUAUUUAGUUGCUGGGAGUUAGACCUGUGCUUUAUCCUCCUGUGUUGAAACCAGUGUUGGUUGGUGUGUGAGAGCGCGUCAGGAGACUGGGUGGGAGUUAUGGGGUGUGAGAGGAAGAAGAGAGGGGGACAUGCAGGACACAAGGGGGGGAGAGAGUUUGUCUUUGUCUCUGUAUGUCCCCCGUGGGGAUUGUGGGAUAGUGGAGGUUAAUGAAUCUGAUUGGCUGGUGGGAGUUUUCUGCUGCUGCUGCGGUUUACACACUCACAGGGCUUCACUUUUUUUUUUUUUUUUUGUUUCACCAAGUUUGGCUCCGGCACAGUGCGGCAUGAAGGACAGAGAGCGGAGACAAAAAAGUGUUUUAAUUUCACUGAAGGUGUGGGUGAUGCACGUACUUUGAUUCAAUGCUGUAGAAAGGCUAAGAUACAGGAGCUGAAGCAUCAUUUACACGUAUGAAGCCACAAACUCACUGUCACCUCCAUUAGUGCAAAAGAACAAAAGUAAGAUCACAUAAUGUCAUAAGAUCUUGCAACAUGAAAAUAAAAACUGUUAUUAUUCUAAAAUUAAAUAUAUGAAUCACAGAUGUUAUCAUCAGAGUGGUUUAUUUGAUCAUGUUUUCAAGUUUGGAGCACUUUUGUCAUCAUGGUUUACUCGGCUUAGUCUAAAUGUGUAGAUUUGUGUAGAUUUUGUAUGUCUUUUUACUGGAUUUAGAAGGCAAAACCAAAGGAAUCAUUGAAGUCUUGUUUUACCUGAAUAUCAAUCCACAUCGCUUCGAUUUUUGACAACUCUGAAAGUUGGCUGCCCUUCAACAGACUGCACUUUGAUGAACAUCCAUGCAGAAUACAAAAUUACAUUGACUUGACUCGUGUUAUUUUGUCAGCUGUGAUGAUUUUAUUUUAUUUUCAUGUGUUUGCACUCACCUCAUAAAAAUAUUCUGAAAACCACUUUUAAGCAUGUUGAGCUGCAGCUGCUGAACUCUAAACCAAAACCUUGUAACCUCAUCAACUAAGUCAUCCUAAGAUAGAGUAUAAAAUGUAAUAUAAGAAAUAAAAAAAAAUUAAAAUAUAAUUUACCUGACAUGCUUACAGUGGACAGUUGCACCAUUAAAAAGCAAAUUUGCACAUUUAAGGGCUUUAAGUGGUCGGAUCUUCUAAUCUCUGAUAAAUUUUAGGUAAAUGACUGAGUCCUACAUAGCUACACGUAUGUGAAGCUAUUUGUGUCUCAACACAAGUGCACACAUUCAUUCAUGUCUGUGUGAGAGUGUGUUGGUGUGUGUAUGAAACUGUAUAUUUGUGUGUGUGUGUGUGUGUGUGUGUGUGUGUGUGUGUGUGUGUGUGUGUGUGUGUGUGUGUGUGUGUGUGUGUGUGUGUGUGCUAAUGAGAGUGGGGUGGGGGGGAGUGGGACGUCGCAGCAGUGCGUCCUCUGCUCUCCCGGCAGGUCACUAGCGACAGAUGUUCUCAGCAUAUGUGGCGAAUUAAUUAGCCGCUAGUAAACAGAGGGGGCUGCCGCCAUGAGCUGCCGGUCUGUGCCGCCGCCGAGCCGCAACGGGCCGCCUUUUGUCCAAAUUCCUCUUUUCUCUCCAUCCUCCUCUG